rnacentral:lncRNA from 1 species
UGGCAAUGGCUUCUAGUGGCAUAGUUGGACCUUUUUACUGAACUUUAGUUUGGCGAAGGAACUGAAGCAGGAGGAUUAACUAUGAAAGGAUCAUAAUUGGAAGUUAAUGCUCACUGAUAAUUAGGGCGUAAAGAGGGUUGACUCAAGGGAUUAAACCUAUUAUUGACUGGAAUUGGAGAAUAACUUGGGAAGGGCACAAUUUGGGAAGAUGACUCUUGUUUGACUGGCAUCAUGGUAGCUGGGAGGAUUCUGGGUCGGCUGGUUGACUGGG